AUAAAUAAAUAAAAAUGCUGCGAGUGGAUGGAUUGGCCAAAUAUACGAGGCGCUAAACUGCGAAAAAAACGAAUGGCAUCCGCGACAUAUUCGUUUGUACCUCUUCGGCUGAAAAGCCUUUUAUUUUCAAAUACUCAAGGAACUGAAACAUCUUAUUACUUGAAGGAAAAAAAAUCAAUCGAGAUUGCGUGUGUAGCAGCGAGUGAAAGCGCAAAAGCCAUUUAAAACUUUUAAAAAAUUGAAACGUUUGGAAAAACGUACUGCAAAAGGUAAAAGUCCUGUAAAAUUUGAAAAAGUAUUUUAGAUUGUUCGGCGUUUUGUGUCGAAUUUAAGGGGAACCUCCCCCAAGGCUAAAUAAUGUAUUUGGACCGAUAGUGAACCAGUACCGUGAGGGAAAUCUGAAAAACGAUAGUGACAAUCUAUGUUGAAACAGAGCCUAAAACUCGCAGCAGUGUUUGACACUGUGCUGGGCGAAGCCUGGUAAAGUGGUGCCUUUUGAAUCAUGCGCUGAUGACUUUGUGUUUUUUUGAUGUUUAACUUGCUAAAGGUAAGCACUAAAACUAAAAAAUUAUCAAAAAACACAAAACGCGAAGCGAAGAGAGCUUUUUUAAGCCAAGAUGAAGAGCCGCGAAAGGGGCUUGGAGGUCUGAAGCAGUUCACGUUGCAACGUGUUUGUAUGAGCUUAGAAAAGAAGCGAAAUACUAACCGCUCUUCGCAAUAUCUCGUUUCUCGCGAAACCUGUUUAGGCAGGGCGCUACUUUUAAACCAAGGCUAGAGAUGUAAAGCACUGUAAAACUAAGGGGAAAGAAAUUUUUACUGCCGUUUUGCAAACUCUGAAUUCUAAGCCCUAAAAGUAGCAGUCAGUCGGUACGGGACAAGCUGUAUACGACAAAAGGGAAACAGCCCAAACUAUAGAAUAAGGCCUGAAAGAGUAAACUAAGUGAGAAAGGAAAAUUGUGCACAAUGAAGCGUUGGACGUUUGAUUAGCAGCAUCUAUCGUUUAAAGAAAGCGUAAUAGCUCACAACGUGAGUGCACAUGCCCCGAUAAUUUAACCAGACUAAGUUUAUCGCCCAUUUCAUAGCAUGCCAAUGUUUUUUGUUUUGGCAUGGGUAGCGAGACGAACCCUAUAUCAAAGAAGUUUUGUCGGUAAGACUAAAAAAGAUAUUGGUUGUGAUUAUAUCAGCUAUAGUAGCUAAAAAUUGAGCAAAAAAAUCUCAAUGAUCGAAAGUUCAAGGUUUCUUAGACAACUGUUUUAGAUCUAAGGUUAAAACGGCCCCUAAAUUGUAUAAAGACAAUGACGGGACAAGGUUUGAAAAAAAGUGACUGGUAACUAAAACCAACAAAGUUACAUUUGAAGGAAAGUUAAAAACUAAAGGUUAAACUUUAGUUUUUAACUUUCCUUCAAGUAAGGCUAGGGUUGGUUACUGCUGGAAAAAACAAAAGGUUUAAAAAAACUCUUUAAACCUUUUUCAAACUUUUUUACCGUACUUAAACUGACACCGGUGGACAAGUAAAUUUUACUAAGAUUAAGUCGAAAUCGCCCGUAAGGAACUCGGCAAAAUGCACUCGUACUUUAGAAAGAAGAGUGGCACCCUUUGAAAAAAGGAGGCCUCAGAAAAUAGAGGAGGGCGACUGUUUACUCAAAACACAGGGUUCUGCUAACUUGCAAUAGAACGUAUAGAAUCUGACCUUUGUCAAGAGCCGCUAACUUAAGCCAAGUGAUGUGAAGUCAUUUGGUGAAGGCGCCGGUUAUCGACCGCCGUAACUAUAACGGUGUUAACAGUAGCGAAAUUCCUAGGCAUUUAAUUGGUGUCCUGCACGAAUAAGGUAACGAUCUUCCUACUGUCUCACGGGCGAGGGCUGCGAAAUAAGAAUGCCGGUCCAAAUACCGGCACAAAUAUCCAAGACGAUAAGACCCUAUGAAGCUUUACUGUAACCAUACAUUGCUACCGAUUUUUUGCUUUAGAGUCAUAGGCGGGAGUUUUCAGCACGCUUAAAUUUGCUUGAAAACGUCACUGGAAAACCGCUAGGCAACCUAUAUGUAGCUUAUCUUAAAGGAAAAAGUGUUUGGUGGGCAGUUUAUCUGGGGCGGAUACUGGCUAAAAGGUAACGCCAGCGUGCAAAGGUUAGCUCAACAAAGUCGGAAACUUUGUGUAGAGCGUAAUAGUAUAAGCUAGCCUGACUAUGAGACCUACAAGUCGAAUUUGGGACGAAAGUCUGCUAUAGUGACCCCCAUGUUUUGAGUGGAAAAGCAUGGGAUUAACGGAUCAAAGUUACUCUAGGGAUAACAGCGUUAUUUCGGCCUAUAGUUCAUAUAGAAGCCGACGUUUGCGACCUCGAUGUCGACUUUCGGUGUCCUCGAGCUGUAGAAGGUUUGAAGGGUGCAGCUGUUCUCUGCGUAAAACCGAACAUGAGUUGGGUUUAAUCCGUCGUAAGACAGGAUUGAUUCUAUCUGGAUAUUUCAACCCAUUAUUUUUUUUUUAACUGCUGGACUGACCUCAUUAGUACGAAAGGAUCUUGAAGGUCCAAGCCGCUGGUUUAGCAAUUGUUUUAAAAAAAGCAAAGUUGCAAGGCUACGCUUGAAAAGCUAAUCGCUGAAACCCUAUAAAGCGAAAAGCUUUCCAUAGAAGUUAUAGAAAAUCGCAGUUUAAAAUUGCGUGGAUAGGUUAAAGGUGUAAGGCCUUAAAAGGUUUCAGCCAUUUAAUACUAAAAAAGUUUUUUUUCACAUU
rnacentral:rRNA from 1 species